UACGGGGGGGGCAAGCGUUGUUCGGAAUUACUGGGCGUAAAGGGCUCGUAGGCGGCCAACUAAGUCAGACGUGAAAUCCCUCGGCUUAACCGGGGAACUGCGUCUGAUACUGGAUGGCUUGAGUUCGGGAGAGGGAUGCGGAAUUCCAGGUGUAGCGGUGAAAUGCGUAGAUAUCUGGAGGAACACCGGUGGCGAAGGCGGCAUCCUGGACCACGACUGACACUGAAAAGCGAAAGCCAGGGGAGCAAACGGG
rnacentral:rRNA from 1 species